GACUUGCUUUUGAUCCAUGGUAGCGGGAGAGUGAAGUUACUGCGAUUUUUAUUGCAUUUACAGUCUGGGCGUCAUCUCUCAUUGCCCUACGUGGAGUAUGUUAAGGUGAAGUCAGUUAAACUCAGGCCCGGAAUGGUAAGCCACAACGGCUGUGGCAUUGACGGGGAACUUUUCUCGGUAAACGGGCAAGUAAUAUGCUCCUUGCUUCCAGAGCAAUG
rnacentral:misc_RNA from 1 species